GAAGAACCAAAAGUAAUCAGUGCUGUAUCAGAAGCCCUCUUGAUGUUUUCGUGUUUGGAACAAUAAUACGUCAUUUGCACAAAAACAAAGUCGUAUCAACAGACAGAAAAAAACUGCAUCAUUGAAAACCCUAUACCUCACUUUAUUCCGAGCUUAAAACGAAAUUACAUAAAUACAUAGUGAACGAAAAAUAAUUAUAACAUAUUUUUUUUAUAAGACGAAAAAUAAUCAGCAGUUCAUAUUACAUUAUAAUACGAAAAAAGUAAAGGAUAG